ACGACCAGCCGCGGCUCGCCUUGCGCAUGAGGCGGCACUAAUCUGCAGUGGAAACAGGAGGACGGGGCACAGCGGUCGAGCAGAGGAGAGUUGA